CUGCCUGGCAUACCUGGUUCUCUUGGUAGAUAACCAGCCACAAAGAGAUCUUAAGGUAAAAUGUGCUCCAGUUCUGGGAAAGAGAUGCAGACCUUGCUACUUGAGUGUGGUUUGCAAUCCGUAGUAUCAGUGUCUAUUGAAGGCGUGUUAGAAACGCAGGCAUUAGGGUCUACCCCAGACCUAUUAAAUUUGAAUCCGCAUUUCCACCAAGUCCCCAGGUGACUCAUAAGCACUUUGGAGUUUGAGAAGCACUGUACCAAGAUUACAGGGCUGUCCUCACAUGAAUGAGAGGUAGAAGGGUGAUCUCGAAGGUAGAAUUACCGGAGAGUGACUAUAAUUUCCCGACAAGGACUUAUGUUUAUAAGGUCCCUGUAUGAGUGGCCAGAAAAAGUGAAUAUUUGUAUAUGUGGAGGGAGAAAUUGCCCACUACCAAACCAGUUUCGGCUCUCCCACAUUUUGACACCUGCUAGAGUGGCUAAAGGAGGCAUUUCUCCCAAAGUAUCUCCUCUACUACAUGUACUUUAACCUUGACCAUGUCCAAAGAACCUUUGAUGAAAUAAAUAGGAACUGCACACUGGCCAUUGAAAUGCUUCUGAUUCUCCAUGUUGAAGAAAUGAUCACUUCAUUAGGAAAUUAAACCCAGGAAGUCAGGCCAGGGAAGGGUGCUUUUGAGUGACUAGUGUUUGCUCAGCUCUAUCAGGGGGUGGCAGAUGUGAUUCACUCUCACAAGUGUCUCGUGCCCCAGAAUUCUUGUGUAAAUGUGGGCAAGGAAGGGAAAUGGAAGUGGUGGCUGAUGAGGGGUGUGAAAUGAUGAGGAAACUGCCCUAAGAAGGUAGGUUGUCUGCUAUCAGGAAAGGAUUGAGCCAGGUAGCCAGUUACAUGUUGUCUCCAAGUAUAAGAAUACAAAAGCAGGUGUUUCAGGAAUCUGUGUGAGGACUAGCACCCGCAAAAUUACUUUUAUUGUGAACAUAUAGUAUCAGGUGAAUAUAUAGUACCAGGCUAAGCAAGAGGGAAGGAGCUUUAUGGUAUUACUAGAAGCCUGGUGCCCAAAUUCAUGCAUGGGUGGGGUCCACUUAGGGCCAAUUGGGCUGGACUGACCCUGUAGGGGCUGUGGGUGGUUGGUGGGCCGGACUGCCCACAAUCAUGGGGGAGGGUUGAUUGGGG